GGGGCGCGGCGGCGGGGCCGGAGGAGCGCAGGGGCGUGGAGGCUGAGCGGCCCCUCUCACCUUUAGAGGUGGUUCCUCCGGCUCAGCGCUCAGGCAAAGGGUGGAGGUGCCGCCGCCGCCGCCGCCUCCGCCGCCGCCGCCCGCGCCGUAGCGGCUCUGUGGAUUUAAAUACAGCACUUCAGUUCGACGGGGCCGCCGCUCCGCCGUGCCGCCGCCGCCGCCGCCGCCGCCGCCUCGCACCAACGCCGUCCGUGGGCGCGGCGCCGCCCGACCCGCAACGCUCCCCGUGGGGCCGCAGCGCGGAACCGCCGGCACCGCAGCACCGCCAGCACCGCAGCACCGCCAGCACCGCAUCGCCAGCACCGCAUCAGUGCAGCACCGCCAGCACCGCAUCGCCACCAGCAGCACCAGCACCGCAGCACCGCAUCACCAGCAUCGCCAGCACCACAGCACCACCAGCACCGCAGCACCGCCAGCACCGCAGCACCACCAGCAGCACCAGCAGCACCAGCACCGCAGCACCGCAUCACCAGCAUCGCCAGCACCGCCAGCACCACAGCACCGCUAGCAGCAAAGGCACCGCAGCACCGCCAGCACCGCAUCAGUGCAGCCCCACCAGCACCACCAGCACCACCAGCACUGCAUCACCAGCACCGCCAACACCGCAGCACCACCAGCACCGCAGCACCACCAGCAUGGCAUCACCAGCACCGCCAGCACCGCAUCAGUGUGCAUCAGUGCAGCACCAGAGCACCACCAGCACCACCAGCACUGCAGCACCACCAGCACCGCAUCACCAGCACCGCAGCACCGCCAGCACCGCAUCAGUGCAGCCCCACCAGCACCACCAGCACUGCAUCACCAGUGCCGCCAACACCGCAGCACCGCCAGCACCACCAGCAGCACCAGCACCGCAGCACCGCAUCACCAGCAUCGCCAGCACCGCAGCACCACCAGCAGCACCAGCACCGCAGCACCACCAGCACCGCAGCACCAGCAUCGUCAGCACUGCCAGCACUGCCACCACCGCAUCACCAGCACCGCCAGCACCGCAUCAGUGUGCAUCAGUGCAGCACCAGAGCACCACCAGCAGCACCAGAACCGCAGCACCGCAUCACCAGCAUCGCCAGCACCAGAGCACCACCAGCACCACAUCAGUGCAGCCCCACCAGCACUGCAGCACCACCAGCAGCACCAGCACCGCAUCAGUGCAGCAGCACCACCACCGCAUCACCAGCACUGCCAGUACCGCAUCAGUGUGCAUCAGUGCAGCACCACAGCACCACCAGCACCACCAGCACCGCAGCACCACCAGCACCGCAUCGCCAGCACCGCAGCACCGCCAGCACCGCAUCAGUGCAGCCCCACCAGCACCACAGCACCACCAGCACUGCAUCACCAGCACCGCCAACACCGCAGCACCGCCAGCACCACCAGCAGCACCAGCACCGCAGCACCGCAUCACCAGCAUCGCCAGCACCGCCAGCACCACAGCACCGCCAGCAGCACAGGCACCGCAGCACCGCCAGCACCGCAUCAGUGCAGCCCCACCAGCCCCACCAGCACCACCAGCACUGCAUCACCAGCACCACCAACACCACAGCACCGCCAGCAGCACCGCCAGCACCGCAUCAGUGUGCAUCAGUGCAGCACCACAGCACCACCAGCACCACCAGCACUGCAUCACCAGCACCGCCAGCACUGCAGCACCGCCAGCACCACCAGCACUGCAUCACCAGCGCCGCCAACACCGCAGCACCGCCAGCACCACCAGCAGCACCAGCACCGCAGCACCGCAUCACAAGCAACACCAGCACCGCAGCACCACCAGCAUCGCCAGCACCACCAGCACCGCAUCACCAGCACCGCCAGCACCGCAGCACCACCAGCAUCGCCAGCACCGCCAGCACCACAGCACCACCAGCAGCACAGGCACCGCAGCACCGCCAGCACCGCAUCAGUGCAGCCCCACCAGCACCACCAGCACUGCAUCACCAGCACCACCAACACCGCAGCACCGCCAGCACCACCAGCAGCACCGCAUCAGUGUGCAUCAGUGCAGCACCACAGCACCACCAGCACUGCAUCACCAGUACCACCAGCACUGCAGCACCGCAGCACCGCAUGACUGCCAUCCCUGCAUCGCCACCAUCAGUGCAGCACCGCAGCAACGCCAACAGUGCCAUCCCUGUAUCACCACCAUCAGUGCCAUCCCUGCAGCACCGCCAUCAGUGCAGGACCACCAUCACCAUCAUCAGUGCCAUCCCUGCAUCACUGCCAUCAGUGCAGCACCACCAUCACCACCAUCAGUGCAGCACCAAAGCAUCGCAGCACCGCCAACACUGCCAUCCAUGCAUCACCACCAUCAGUGCAGCACCGCAGCACCACAGCACUGCCAUCAGUGCAGGACCACCAUCACCACCAUCAGUGCAGCACCGCAGCACCACCAUCAGUGCAGCACCGACAUCAGUGCCAUCCCUGCAUCACCACCAUCAGCGUCAUCAGUGCAGCACUGCAUCACUGCCAUCAGUGCAGCACCACCAUCAUCGCCAUCAGUGCAGCACCACCAUCAGUGCAGCACCACCAUCAGUGCAGCACCGCAGCAUCACAGCACCGCCAUCAGUGCCACCCCUGCAUCACCACCAUCAGUACAGCACCACCAUCAGUGCAGGACCACCAUCAGUGCA
ensembl:lncRNA